GAGAAAGCAGGAGCAAUCUUGUGAGUAAAGUGGCGUACGGGUGAGUAACACGUGGAUCAUCUACCUUUUAGUGGGGAAUACCCCUGGGAAACCGGGGACAAUACCGCAUAAGCUCGUGAGAGGAAAGCAGCAAUGCGCUGAAAGAGGAGUCCGCGGCUGAUUAGCUAGUUGGCGGGGUAACGGCCCACCAAGGCGAAGAUCGGUAGCCGGCCUGAGAGGGCACACGGCCACACUGGCACUGAAACACGGGCCAGACUCCUACGGGAGGCAGCAGUGGGGAAUCUUGCACAAUGGAGGAAACUCUGAUGCAGCGACGCCGCGUGAGCGAUGAAGCCCUUCGGGGUGUAAAGCUCUUUCGACGGGAACGAUAAUGACGGUACCCGAAGAAGAAGCUGCGGCUAACUACGUGCCAGCAGCCGCGGUAAUACGUAGGCAGCGAGCGUUGUUCGGAAUUACUGGGCGUAAAGAGUGCGUAGGCGGUGCUCUAAGUCUGUUGUGAAAUCUCCCGGCUUAACUGGGAGGGUGCGGCGGAAACUGGAGUGCUCGAGUGUGGGAGAGGUAAGCGGAAUUCCUGGUGUAGCGGUG
rnacentral:rRNA from 1 species